AUGAGCUCGGUCGGGCGCGGCGGCAAGCGACGGGCGGGGCCUCCCGCAGCCCCAUCCCCGCUGGCGGCGAAGCGGGCCCAGCCCAUGCCGCCUGGCGCCCCACAGCCGCCUCCACCGGCUGCCGCGGCGGCGGCGGAGGAGGAUAUGAUGGACGAGGACGUUUUCCUGGACGAGACUAUCCUCGCGGAGGACGAGGCGGCGCUGCUGCUGCUCGACCGCGACGAGGCCCUCGCCUCCCGUCUUUCCAGGUGGAAGCGCCCCGCCCUCCCCGCCGACCUCGUCUCCGGUUGCUCCCGCUCCGUCGCUUUUCAGCAGCUGGAUAUAGAUUAUGUUAUUGGUGAGAGCCACAAAGAGUUUCUGCCCAACUCUUCUGGUCCUGCGGCUAUAAUCAGGAUUUUUGGUGUCACCAGAGAAGGUCACAGUGUGUGCUGUCAGGUGCAUGGGUUUGAACCAUAUUUCUACAUCAGCUGCCCGCCUGGAAUGAGCCCUGAUGAUAUUUCAGGCUUCAAACAAACACUAGAGGCGAGGAUGAAGGAAUCAAAUAGGAAUAGCAGUGUGCAAAGAUUUGUGAAGAGUGUUGAGCUUCUGCAGAAGCAGACAAUUAUGCAUUACCAGCCAAAUAAAUCUCAGUCCUUCCUCAAGAUAGUAGUUGCCCUACCUACAAUGGUUGCUAGCUGUCGUGGCAUCCUUGAAAGGGGCAUAACGAUUGGCAGUCUUGGUUCAAAGAGUUUCGUGACAUAUGAAAGCAACAUUCUCUUUGCCCUUCGCUUUAUGAUUGACUGCAACAUUGUUGGUGGCAAUUGGAUUGAACUUCCUGCUGGGAAGUAUAGAAAAGCAACUCGCGUCAUGUCCUAUUGCCAGCUAGAGUUGGAUUGCCUAUAUUCAGAUUUGGUAAGCCAUGCUCCUGAAGGGGAAUACUCUAAGAUGGCCCCCUUUCGCAUAUUAAGUUUUGACAUCGAAUGUGCUGGUCGCAAAGGACACUUCCCAGAACCAACUCAUGAUCCGGUUAUUCAGAUUGCUAAUUUGCUCACGCUUCAAGGCGAAGCCCAGCCUUUUGUACGGAAUGUCAUGACUCUUAAAUCAUGUUCUCCCAUUGUCGGAGUGGAUGUAAUGUCAUUUGACACAGAGCGAGAUAUUCUACUUGCUUGGAGGGAUUUAAUACGCGAGGCAGAUCCUGAUAUUAUAAUUGGAUACAAUAUCUGCAAAUUUGAUCUGCCAUAUCUUAUUGACAGAGCUGAAGUUCUCAAGAUAGUGGAGUUUCCACUACUUGGUCGAAUCAGAAAUAGCCGUGUCCGUGUCCGUGAUACCACCUUCAACUCAAGGCAAUAUGGUAUGCGUGAAAGUAAAGAUGUAACUGUUGAGGGAAGGGUACAAUUUGAUCUUCUGCAGGCUAUGCAAAGGGAUUACAAGCUGAGUUCUUAUUCAUUGAACUCUGUAUCUGCACAUUUUCUAGGGGAGCAAAAAGAGGACGUUCAUCAUUCAAUCAUAUCUGAUCUUCAAAAUGGAAACUCAGAGACACGAAGGCGUCUUGCAGUUUAUUGCUUGAAGGAUGCUUAUCUUCCACAAAGACUGUUAGAUAAAUUGAUGUACAUCUACAACUACGUAGAGAUGGCGAGGGUCACAGGAGUUCCCAUUUCUUUUCUGCUCUCGAGGGGACAGAGCAUUAAGGUCCUCUCACAGUUACUGAGGAAAGCAAAACAGAGAAACCUUGUUAUACCAAACAUAAAGGGCCAAAGUUCUGGGCAAGAUACCUUUGAGGGUGCAACUGUUUUGGAGGCAAGGGCUGGAUUUUAUGAGAAGCCCAUUGCAACUUUGGACUUUGCUUCUCUGUAUCCAUCCAUCAUGAUGGCCCAUAACCUAUGCUACUGCACUUUGGUUCCCCCUGAGGAUGUCCGUAAACUCAACUUGCCUCCAGAAAGCCUCUACAAAACCCCAUCUGGUGAAAUAUUUGUGAAACCAAAGUUGCAAAAGGGUAUACUUCCUGAAAUCCUUGAAGAACUGUUGGCUGCUCGGAAAAGAGCAAAAGCAGAUUUGAAGGAAGCAAAGGACCCAUUCGAAAGAGCGGUUCUUGAUGGUCGUCAGCUUGCCCUAAAAAUAAGUGCAAAUUCAGUUUAUGGUUUUACUGGUGCUACUGUUGGUCAAUUGCCCUGUUUAGAGAUUUCUUCAAGUGUUACGAGCUACGGUAGACAGAUGAUUGAGCACACAAAGAAGCUUGUUGAAGAUAAAUUCACAACACUUGGAGGCUAUGAGCAUAAUGCAGAGGUGAUUUAUGGAGAUACUGAUUCUGUGAUGGUACAGUUUGGCGUUUCUACAGUCGAGGACGCAAUGAAAUUGGGAAGAGAAGCUGCAGAGUAUAUUAGUGGAACAUUUAUUAAGCCCAUCAAGCUAGAGUUUGAGAAAGUUUACUUUCCAUACCUACUGAUCAGCAAGAAGAGAUAUGCUGGUUUGUACUGGACAAAUCCUGAGAAAUUUGACAAAAUGGACACAAAAGGUAUUGAAACAGUUCGAAGGGACAACUGUUUAUUGGUAAAGAACCUGGUGACUGAGUGCCUUCAUAAAAUACUAGUGGACCGAGAUGUUCCUGGUGCAGUCCAAUAUGUCAAGAAUACCAUAUCUGAUCUAUUAAUGAACCGUGUGGACUUGUCACUUCUGGUUAUAACAAAGGGUUUGACAAAAACAGGAGAAGACUAUGCUGUAAAAGCCGCCCAUGUGGAGCUUGCUGAGAGGAUGCGGAAGAGGGAUGCUGCUACUGCACCAACUGUUGGCGACCGGGUUCCUUAUGUUAUAAUAAAAGCAGCAAAAGGGGCAAAGGCAUAUGAGAAGUCAGAAGAUCCAAUUUACGUUCUGGAUAAUAACAUUCCAAUAGAUCCUCAGUACUACCUUGAGAACCAAAUUAGCAAACCACUGUUGAGAAUAUUCGAACCAAUUCUGAAGAACGCGAGCAGAGAACUGCUUCAUGGAAGUCAUACCAGAGCUGUUUCAAUCUCAACUCCUUCAAAUAGCGGGAUAAUGAAAUUUGCAAAGAAACAACUGACUUGCCUCGGAUGCAAAGCAGUUAUAAGUGGUCCCAACCAAACACUUUGCUCACAUUGCAAGGGAAGGGAAGCAGAGUUAUACUACAAAACAGUAGCAAAUGUUUCUGAUCUGGAGAUGCUCUUUGGGAAGCUAUGGACGCAGUGCCAGGAGUGCCAAGGCUCCCUACACCAGGACGUUCUGUGCACCAGUCGGGACUGCCCUAUUUUCUACCGGCGGAGGAAGGCACAGAAGGACAUGGCUGAAGCUAGGGUGCAGCUUGAUCGUUGGGACUUCUGA
rnacentral:rRNA from 1 species